ACCAAGCGGUGAUGAUGGCGACAUUUUGUCACUUUCCUGAUGGAGACUGAUGGUUUUAAGUCACUACCUCAUCUGAGCUUGCA
rnacentral:snoRNA from 1 species